GACGAACGCUGGCGGCGUGCCUAAUACAUGCAAGUAGAACGCACAGUUUAUACCGUAGCUUGCUACACCAUAGACUGUGAGUUGCGAACGGGUUAGUAACGCGUAGGUAACCUGCCUGGUAGCGGGGGAUAACUAUUGGAAACGAUAGCUAAUACCGCAUAAUAUUAAUUAUUGCAUGAUAAUUAAUUGAAAGGUGCAAUUGCACCACUACCAUAUGGACCUGCGUUGUAUUAGCUAGUAGGUGAGGUAACGGCUCACCUAGGCGACGAUACAUAGCCGACCUGAGGGGGUGGUCGGCCACACUGGGACUGAGACACGGCCCAGACUCCUACGGGAGGCAGCAGUAGGGAAUCUUCGGCAAUGGACGAAAGUCUGACCGAGCAACGCCGCGUGAGUGAAGAGGGUUUUCGGAUCGUAAAGCUCUGUUGUAAGAGAAGAACGGGUGUGAGAGUGGAAAGUUCACACUGUGACGGUAUCUUACCAGAAAGGGACGGCUAACUACGUG
rnacentral:rRNA from 1 species